rnacentral:rRNA from 1 species
AUUGAACGCUGGCGGCAGGCCUAACACAUGCAAGUCGAACGAGUGGCGGACGGGUGAGUAAUGUCUGGGAAACUGCCUGAUGGAGGGGGAUAACUACUGGAAACGGUAGCUAAUACCGCAUACCCUCAGAUGUGCCCAGAUGGGAUUAGCUUGGUGGUGGGGUAACGGCUCACCAAGGCGACGAUCCCUAGCUGGUCUGAGAGGAUGACCGGCCACACUGGAAUGUAUACACGUACCAGACUCUGACGGGAGGCAGCAGUGGGGAAUAUUGAACAAUGGGCGCAAGCCUGAUGCGGCCAUGCCGCGUGUAUGAAGAAGGCUUUCGGUUUGUAAAGUACUGUCAGCGGGGAGGCGUUACCCGCAGAAUAAGCACCGGCUAACUCCGUGCCAGCAGCCGCGGUAAUAC